rnacentral:lncRNA from 1 species
GUUCCCCCGUCUCUUCCUAUUCUUCUUCAUCCUUCUCUUCCUCCUCUUCUUCUUUCUCCUCUCCCUCUUUCUCCUCUUCUUUAUCAUCCUGUUCCCCCUCUUCUUCAUGCUCCUGUUCAUCCUCCUAUACCUGCUCGUCUUCUUCAUGCUCCUGUUCAUCCUCCUAUACCUGCUCGUCUUCUUCGUCCUCGCCGGCCCUUGAUCUUCCUUUCUUCCUCUGCUCUGCUCGCAGGAGGCGGUGGAGUGGGAGCACAAGAGCAAGGUCGCCGGCAGGAUGCACGCCUGCGGCCACGACGCCCACGUCGCCAUGCUCCUCGGCGCCGCCCGGAUACUGAAAUCCCGCGAGGCCCACCUCCAGGUCAGACACACACAGGCAGACAAGAUAGAUGAAUAGGUGGAUAGAGAGAGCGAGAGAGAGCUGACCUUGUGCAGUGGGUUUCUGGCAGGGGACGGUGAGGUUGAUCUUCCAGCCGGCGGAGGAGGCGGGGAAUGGCGCCAUGAGGAUGAUCAAGGAAGGGGCGCUGGAGGGAGCAGAGGCCAUAUUCGCCGCCCACGUCUCGCACGAGCACCCCACCUCCAUCGUCGCCUCCAUGCCCGGCGCCAUUCUCGCCGGCUGCGGCUUCUUCAAGGCCGUCCUCACCUCCCCGGAGCACGGGGGCGGCGCCAGCCCCAUCAUCGCCGGCGCCGCCGUCGUCGUCUCCCUGCAGAGUCUCGUCUCCCGCGAAGCCGACCCCCUCGACUCCCAGGUCGUCUCCGUCGCCUCCUUCAACGGCGACGCCGCCAGCUCCGCCACCCUCGGCGGCACCUUCCGCGCCUUCUCCAACGCCAGCUUCCACCACCUCCGCCGGAGGAUCCAAGAGGUCCGCCCUUCCGCUCCAUCGCCACCUGCCAUUCUCACAUACAAUUUCAUUUCGUGAGCUCACCAGUUCAUCACCACCUCAUCUGGCACGGGCAGGUGAUCGAGGAGCAGACGAGAGUGUACAGGUGCGCGGUGGAGGUGGACUUCUUCGAGGACCAGCAGUUCUACCCGCCGACGGUCAACGACGAGGCGAUGGCGGCGCUGGUGAAGGAGGUGGCCGUUGACCUGCUGGGGCGGGAGAGGUACUGGGAAGUGCUGCCGAGAAUGGGGGCUGAGGACUUCGCCU